GGGUGUAUAGCUAAAUGGUUAAAGCAAUAAACUUUUAAUUUAUCGAUCUUAGGUUCGAAUCCUAAUACACUCA
rnacentral:tRNA from 1 species